ACCAGAAAGAGAGAAGAAAAAAGAAAGAGUGGUAAAAGUGGACAUCCUUGCCAAGAAUCCUGGGCUGUAGUGUGCUAUGUUGAUAGGGUAUCCCUGCACUAAGUUCAGCAUCAAUAUGGUGGCCUCCCGGGAGCGGGGGACCACCAGGUUUCAUAAGGAGGGUGAACCAGCCCAGGCUGGAAACAGAGCAGGUCAAAACUCUCGUGCUAAUUAGUAGUGGGUCACACCUGUGAGUGACUCCACUCCAGCCUGGGGAACACAGCAAGACCACGUCUUU
rnacentral:SRP_RNA from 1 species